UGCUCCGGGCUGCUGAAGCUUUCGCUGCAUCACUGGUGCAACAAAUCCCUCUGAGACAGGACCCUACAUGUAUGGCACUAAUCCCAAGUCAUAGCUUCCUUCCCUGUUAUUAUCUGCUAAGCUCUGGUGGGAGAUGCGUCACCACAGGAAGUUCAUCCAAAAUUUUCCUUCUGCCCUGGGAUGGCUGCUGUGCACUUUUGACCUGCUGUCAGUUUGAGCAGUGAUUAGCUAUUCGCAACAUGUAAGUACGCUGUGCAGCAAGGAUGCCCUGAUAUAAUUACAAAAUACCAGUGAUUUCAGUGAUUUAUCGCCACUGCUCUGCAUCCAGCACUGAAGAUAAACAACGGUGUAAAGAAAGAGAUGGGUCUGAAGCUCAGAAAAAAAACCCUCCUGUGUGGGGGUGACAGGAUCCUGCAGUGAGCUGAGGCUGUGAGCCAGCUCAGGAGCCUGUCCCAGACUCGUAGCCUGUCUGUGCAAAUGAGACCCACGUUUUUCCAGGUGUUAAUAUUGUAUCAGAGCUCUUCAUGGAUAUUUCAGGAAUGUCAUUUUCUGAAGA